rnacentral:ribozyme from 1 species
UGCCCUGCAACUCUUAUCCCUACCUCCUCGCGGUACCGGUCGGAAAUUAUGAACAACCUUAGGGAAGAUCGGGUAACCAACCCCGGUGGGAACUUUGGUCGUAGGCUGACAGGGAAGG